GCCGGAGUGGUGAAAUUGGCAGACGCGCGGGACUCAAAAUCCCGUAUUGGCAACAAUGUGUCGGUUCAAAUCCGACCUCCGGCACCA
rnacentral:tRNA from 1 species